CCUACGGGAGGCAGCAGUGGGGAAUAUUGGACAAUGGGCGAAAGCCUGAUCCAGCCAUGCCGCGUGUGUGAAGAAGGCAUUCGGGUUGUAAAGCACUUUCAGUGGGGAAGAAAGCCUUGGGGCUAAUACCCUCGAGGAAGGACAUCACCCACAGAAGAAGCACCGGCUAACUCCGUGCCAGCAGCCGCGGUAAUACGGAGGGUGCGAGCGUUAAUCGGAAUUACUGGGCGUAAAGCGCGCGUAGGCGGUCUGAUAAGCCGGUUGUGAAAGCCCCGGGCUCAACCUGGGAACGGCAUCCGGAACUGUCAGGCUAGAGUGCAGGAGAGGAAGGUAGAAUUCCCGGUGUAGCGGUGAAAUGCGUAGAGAUCGGGAGGAAUACCAGUGGCGAAGGCGGCCUUCUGGACUGACACUGACGCUGAGGUGCGAAAGCGUGGGUAGCAAACAGGAUUAGAUACCCCAGUAGUC
rnacentral:rRNA from 1 species